rnacentral:rRNA from 1 species
GACGAACGCUGGCGGCGUGCUUAACACAUGCAAGUCGAACGGAAAGGCCCUGCUUUUGUGGGGUGCUCGAGUGGCGAACGGGUGAGUAACACGUGAGUAACCUGCCCUUGACUUUGGGAUAACUUCAGGAAACUGGGGCUAAUACCGGAUAGGAGCUCCUGCUGCAUGGUGGGGGUUGGAAAGUUUCGGCGGUUGGGGAUGGACUCGCGGCUUAUCAGCUUGUUGGUGGGGUAGUGGCUUACCAAGGCUUUGACGGGUAGCCGGCCUGAGAGGGUGACCGGCCACAUGGGGACUGAGAUACGGCCCAGACUCCUACGGGAGGCAGCAGUGGUGAAUAUUGCACAAUGGGCGGAAGCCUGAUGCAGCAACGCCGCGUGCGGGAUGACGGCCUUCGGGUUGUAAACCGCUUUCGCCUGUGACGAAGCGUGAGUGACGGUAAUGGGUAAAGAAGCACCGGCUAACUACGUG